rnacentral:lncRNA from 1 species
GCAGCAUUUGCGCAGCAGAUAACCCGUGUGGCAGCCUCAACAUUUGUCUAUUUGCGGACCUGGCUGAUCAGUGCCUAAAAUGGAGUUGGUACCCUGUGCCCUUUACGACUUAAGAGUUAACCGAAUGCACCUUCCAAAUACUCACUUCCACAAGAAACCAAGAAAAGCAACGGAAAGUCUGAUUGAAUGAUAGGUAGGAUAAGGCUAAGGACUGGAAAUAGUAUGACUAAAGUGAUGAAAGGAGCGACAAUAAGGCGGAGAACGUGGCCCAAGGCUGCAGGAUCUGAAUUUGAAAUGAGUUUAUGAAUGCAAAUCCAAGUGCUUCGAUGAGAGCGAGUGUGCUGGAGACCCUCACAACUCACACACACACACUCAAAUUCGUUAUUUGUUUUCCACUUUGAACCUUAAAGAGCAAAUCGC